UUUUUCUUCGCAAACAUGAAACUAUCUUUAAGAUUUCCUUUAGCAAACAUAGAAAAUAAAGAUUUGAAUGCUGCUGAAAAUUGUCCAGCCUUGCUUAUUGUCCUGCUCUUCAAAUCUGGUCCUAUUGCUAUUGUAAUGAAGUAGCCCUAGCGUAGCAUUUUCCAUUACAACUCGUACAACAUGGUGUUUUUCCUGAGAGUGAAAACAGCAGAGUUUCAGUGUUUCCAAGCAACAAGUAAAUGAAUAAGAAUUCUUUAUAGCCUACAGCGCUGCACUCAUCUGAGAAUAUCUUAAUCCAUCACCUUCUCAAUUUUAGCAGCUAAAAAUAGAAACUUCCCCCACACUGUAUUAAGUCUAUCAUAUCACAUUAAAGUUAUGGAGGUUUGUAACUAGAAUGAAACAUAUGGCUUUUCACUACAGAGCAAUAGGCGAGUUUAAAACAACAACCAGUGUAAAAUUUAUUGCCUUGCAUUUCUCAUCUAUCUUGCAUGCACCAUCUGUCUGGGGAUUCAUUCCUUUUCUGUCUCUCUCCUCGUAUAUAUUGUCUUACCCUUUUACCGUCUGUCUCUCCUAACAUUCGGGUGCAGUUGUUUUAAUAUCAGCAUCCUUCAAGUGAUCAGGUGACAGGGGUGUACACCAUGUCAGAUUAGCAAGUCAGUCAUAUUAUCCAAAAAUGUGUGGGAGACUACAAAACCGCGUCAAGUGCCAGAGUGGCUCACUGUAUAAUCUCUCAGUACAAACUCUGCCGCAGGACAUGGCAGCUGUUUUUUCUUCUUAUUUUUCUGCAAUGCCAGAAAUAAGGGAGAAGGACUAUUCUUUACUCCAGCCAAACAUUGUUUUCCUGCUGUAGUGUUAACACAACAAAAGGACAAUAAAUAUUUGCUUACACAACCAGGAUGAUUACAGAGGAUUAGUCAUGAGAAGGAGGAGAGAAUAUCAGGAGGAGACGACAAAUGUCUCUCAUCCUCAGCUAGUUGGUGCAGCUGUUAUUAGACAAAUCCUUCCUGGGGGAGGGGAGGACAGAUCUGGUUUAGACUCCCGCAGCAUUGCAUCAUUUUCUUCCAGGCAGAGAUGAUGGCAAAUUGUUGACGCUAAUGGGCUUCCCCACGCUGACAACAGAAAGACAUUUCCUCACAGCAACAUUUUUUUCAGGUAACAUUUAUCGAGGAGUCCAUCCCGAAGAGGUUUCUCUAUUUGACGUUUGUUCAACACCAGCGAAGAGAUGUGCUUCUCGAACAAAAUCUAAUCAAAGGCAUGGAGAGAGCUGGGCAAACAUCUAGAAAGUUCAGGAUGAAGAGAUGCUGAAAACCACCAUAAACUGACUCUUCAAAGAGCGAUGUGUGACCUACUUCUAUGCAGCCAAUUAUACUACGUCUCCCUCCUUCUUGCAUCGUUUUUUUUUUUUUUUGUUAAAGUAGGUCAAGAAAUACGAUAAAAUCUGAAACAAAGUUUGUGCAUCUAUACAGAGAAGGUAUAGACAGGUUCCUUUCUCACUCAUGAUUAAUGAAGGUAAUAAGUUAGCCAGAUAGGAGAGAGUGGGGCAAGAUGAGCUGUUUUUUUUUAAUAUUUCGGAUCACUACAUCAAGGCAAUCAUAGUUUUGUCUCUAACUAGUGUAUCUGCAUAUAUUUCAAGAUGUUGUGCAUCCCUGCAAACCAACAGAAUGAGUGUAAACAGAACUGUCUUGAUAAUAUAGCAUACAAAAAAAGUGGUCUCCUAUGGUCAACAGGGUAAGUUGACCAGAGGAGCGGGGUAAGUUAAGCCAUAUCGCUACUACCCCACCACUCUCCACCCCAGCCCUCCCUCACCUUCUCUCUCCCUAAAUAACAGUCACUUCUUCACAUUCAUGUGUAUUUUUAUCUAUUAUACACUAUUCAACUGGUACAAUAAUUCUUUUUAUCAUUAUUGCAUAUAACUGCUAAAAAGCUGUUUUGUUAAGUCAUUUUAACACGAGAAUGUCUUUAAGUGAUUCCGAACAUUCACAGCUGUAUUUUUGAAAAGAAAAAGUAACAGAUUUCAACAAUCUGAACUGAAACUCUGAUUCUCUUAUCAGACUCCUUUACUUUCUCAGUUGAACCACUGGCUCAGCUUACCCCAGAACUACUAUUAUGACUUUAUUAGUCCUCUAAGCUAAAAUGGUGGACUUUUUUGACCUCAUGUUGUAGCUCAUAGAUACCACAAUUGAUGUAUAAAACAAAUUUAAAAUGAUCUUUUUUGGUCUGAACACAAUUCUAAUAAAACUUAUGACAGACCCAAUUCACUUUCAAGAGUGAAAUUUUUUUUUUUUUUAAAUAAAUGUCUAACCCCUUCACUGAUGUGCUUCUAACCUUCACAGACUCCAUGAAUUGAUGCCCAUCUCCUAAAUAUUUGGUCACAUGAUCAAUUUCUUUUACCAUUUCCAAGCAACAGGGGGUGGCUCAGCUUACCCUUGGCUAAACCUACCCCACCCUCCUUUACACUACAUAUGAAUUAAAAAGUAGACAUCAUGAAAAGGUGUGACAUUAUUUGCUUUGUGUUCCCUUGAUAAAACUAAAAGUUUAAUUUCUGAGGUAGGCCUUGUUAGCAUGUCCACACAGAAAGACCAUGACUGAUUACUCCUCUGUUGAGAGCGUCCAUGAGAGCAGAAAAAACUGGCAAUCCCCACAACAAUCUGCUGCUAAACAGGUGCCCAGACAUGAUUAAUGGAGUCAGAGCAGCUGACAACAAAAAGCCAGCUGACUCCCGCAGCACCUGCAUCAGACCCAUUACAGGAAAAAUAAAUCUCUUUCAAUAAAGUCCUGUAGUAAAAGUUCCACUGUGCUGUGUGUGUCACAUUUAUCUGUACUAUAUAUUACUGAGCAGCGUUUUAACUUCCAUAUCUGAGAGCUUCAGUGAUCUCAGUGUGGCUGCCUUAAUGUAUGGGCGGCCUAUAGGUUAAGUAAAGCAGCUGUCAUCAAGAAGUGACACUCCUUGACAGGGAUGGCAGUCGAAAACCAGAUGGAGCCGUCAUCAUUUGCCUCUAUGCUCAACAGUUCCCUUGUUGAUGCCUUCCACUUAGUUUCAUGUGCCUUGCUAAACAGUGACAUGACAUAUUGCUAGAGACAGUCAGCACUAACAUCAACCAGGGAGGUAAUCAUAGUGGACAGGAGACAGGAGCGGUCCAAAUCACUGCGGCAUUCGACUAAAUAUUAAUAUCAGCUCUAAAAAUAGGAUGAACUCACCAACUUACUCCUAUUUCAUGAGAUCAUCAACUUUCUAUCCCUCAGGGAGAUCAGAGUGUUUUUGAGAGACUGUUUCCCUCAAAAUCAAAAGGUUAUCUGUGAUGGUUAUUUCCUAAUUUCAGUGAUAUAGUGACAUUUCUGUUGUUAAAUACACUAAUGAAAGGCUGCCAAUUCUGUUAAGGUCUGCUAACCUACCAGAGGCUGUAUGUACAAUCAGCUGACCUACAAUCAGAGGCCAGACAUCCCUAUCUCAGCAGAGUGAAGGUUAAUGAACCUGAUGAUAAAAUGUGGAUGGACACAGAAAACCUCUAGACAAGGAAAAUCCAAAGGAAUUGAUAAAAGAACCAAUGGGGAACUGAACAACAAAUAAUACCAAUUUCCAUCCUUACUUCUGAGUGCUGCAAACUCUCAAAAGACUCAAAACAAGUUCAAUAGUUAAAUGAGUAUCUUGAUAGCGUCUACCUCUCUGCCAGGGAACACAACUAACUAAACUAGUGCUGGCUCAUUAUGCUAAUACAGUAUGUCAUUGAACAGUAAGUUUAAUCAUGAUUUAUAUUGCUCUAUGUUAAAGUUGUUGCUCGGUUGUGUUACCUGGUGUGUCAAAAUGUGGCUGACUGCAAGUGUGUGAAACAGACCCACAUUGAUUAUGGCAACAGUAACGCUACAGCGUGACUGACCAUUACAUACAUUUCACAAAAUAUGCACAAGCAGAGUGCAACUUGAUGCCUGCAACGCCCUCCAAAAAAUGCUGGGGCGGGGGAUAUUCAGAGAAACUGGAAAAAUCAUUACACAAAUGCAGCAAGGCCAA